UUGAGCCGUAUGAUGGGUAACUAUCAAGUACGGUUCUGAGGGGGGAAAGGGGCGGUAACGCCCCUGACCUACCCGAU
rnacentral:ncRNA from 1 species